rnacentral:rRNA from 1 species
UACGGAAGGGGCUAGCGUUGUCCGGAAUUACUGGGCGUAAAGGGCGCGUAGGCGGCCUAGCAAGUUCGGGGCGAAAGCCCGAGGCUCAACCUUGGAAGUGCCUCCAAAACUGCGAAGCUCGAGGGCGGGAGAGGGGUGUGGAAUUCUUGGCGUAGCGGUGAAAUUCGUAGAUACCAGGAGGAACGCCGGUGGCGAAGGCGACUCCCUGGCCGGGUACUGACGCUGAGGCGCGAAAGCGUGGGGAGCAAACCGG